rnacentral:lncRNA from 1 species
UGAAAUGUCUCUCUCACAAUAGUCACGUGAUUGCCCUGUCAUCACAGCACUUGAUGGACACAGCAGGUGGUGGGUCUGCUAUCUCAGAGGGUGUAGCAGGAGGCAAGUCUAUUGUCUUGAGCUGGGUGGUCACAGGUGUAACUGGUGAUAAAUAUCCAAGUGGACUUGAGAGAACUUGGAAUGCAAUGCCGCCUGCUUCCUGCUCCCGUGGGACCCACGUGACUCUCAUCCCAGAGGAGACACCUGUGCCUCCAACCCGGUGGCUUGCCUCCUCGUCCCUCAGGAUGUAACGACAACGACAAGUUUACUGUGUGAGGUCCCAGGCCGAGCGCCAACGCUGAAUGGUUCAUUCAGACCUCACAUUGUCUGGCACAUUUUCAAGCAUUCUUCCCCGUGUUUUGUAGACAAGAAAACCAAGGCUCCCUGAGGGCCAGGUUAAGUAACUUGUCCAGCUGCUCACCACGGCGCAAAGAUGAAGCUGAGUUUUGAAAUACCACAUCAUGCGGUAUUUAGAGAAGAAGAUUGAAAUGGACUUUUCAGAAGAGGUGGGGAGGGACAAUUUUGACAUUAUCUUUUUUCUCCUGAUCAUAUAAGCAAUGCAUGCUCAUUGUUUGUUUAAUUAAGAAAAAGUCAGAGUUUGAAAAGACAUUAGCAGAGGAGUGGUGGUGAGGUUUCCCCUCGUCUGCCGGUUUCUUUCUAAGAACUAAGGGAAAUGACUGAGCCCUCAGAGGGGAGGGAGGGAGGAGAGAAUGUCCUGGCAUUAAAUCUGAGCGGAGAGCAUCGUAACCCUGCAGGGGAGGUGUUCCAUCCACGUGCCGUGCUUCCAGACAACCUUGCAAAGCAUCGGAACCCGUGUUCAUGAUCGGUGGCAGUGGGUCCGAAACAAGCCUGAUUCUCUGGAUUUCUGCAUUUCGGGUGGCCAGGCUCUCUGCGCAGCUGUGACAGUGACCCUUCCCCUGACUCAGCUCUAGUUGGACUCCUCUAAGCCUCAAGGCCCCACACUCAGGCUCUGUCUUCCCACAUUUAGCCCAGUUUUAGCGGAAAUCCCCCACCCUCGAUAUUGUCACCUCGGCCUCACUUUAGCAAGAAUCCCGUGGAGUUGGUCUAGCAAGAACGCCCCCAGUCUUGUGUUUCCUCCUAGUAACUUCCCAUCCACCACCACCCAAUACACACCCUACUCCUUGGCUCUGAAUCCCCACUUGUCCUUAUUGUGUUCAGAGCUGAGCCUCUCAGUCUCUCCCCGCUACUGCAAAACCCCAGUGCUGUGGCCCCUACGCUUGUCAGGAUGGCCCCUGAAUAAAAUCUGCCUUACGGUUCUUUAA